AACUAUAUAGCCUACUUCCGUCAGCAUUUUGUCUCUUGAUUUAUUUUUUUUUCAUGUCAUUAUUUCACACGUGAUGUUGUACAAAAGAAAGAAGCGGAAUGAAUAUUACAUUUUCCAUUCUCAUAGGUGGGUGUGGAGGACAAGGGAAUAUACCAAAUACGUAUAUCGUAUAAUAAUCCUCUUAUCAGCAAUUCCAAUAUGCCGGGCCUGUAUAAUUCUCCCUGCGCAAUAGACGACCUCUAUGCGAUCCGUAGUAAAUUCAAAUGUUGAGCGAUAGAUGGCGAUCAAAUCGAUGGGAACCGCUUCAACCCGCCGUCAAAAUCCAUCAAUCACGCUCGAGUUUCACGGACGGGUAUUAAUGCUCCGUGAGAAAAUGAAACUGGAUCUCUUCUCCAUCAACCGUCACCUUGUUUGGUCAUUCCUACCUUCAUCAAACAAAAACUCAAAACAGUCCUAUUUCACAUGCAGAUUGCUGCUGCAGCUCUAAUGUUAAACUCAAGUGCGCGAUCGCAGUAUUUCAUCUCGAUUCGCUACUGCUGCCACCAACGAAUUCAACCAUCUGUAAAAAAAAGAAAAAAUAUAUAACCAAACGCAGACUUAUGGAGAAAAGAUAAUCAUCGCAGUUGGUUUCGUCCGAAUCAUUGUCCAACUCUGCUCGGUUUUGAAUUUUGUUUGUCACGACACAGUUGAGACGAUGAACCAAGUCAAAAUGAGCGCCGAAACAGUUUGGGGAGGGGUCACGGUUAGAUGAGACAAAGUGCACUGUCUGCCGAGUGAGUGUGUGUAAUCCUUUUCCUUCAGACAGAAUUUCAGUAAAAAUAAAACAAAAUAAAAAGAAAACCGUUCGUCAGCUUAAUGAAGCCACGCGUCGUUCAGCCCCAAGGGCGGUAUAGCAGCAGCCAAUUCGUCCAGAGAUUUAAAGCCUGUCGUCGGCGUUUGAAAAACAUUACGUAUUAUAUCCUAGAAGAGCCUAUACAGACAGAGUCGACUUUGUGUGUGUGAUAAUAACAUACAGGAAUAUUAUAACUGGAUACUGGAAUAACCGGAUGAAUGAGAACCCCUCUAGUCUUCUACAGUCGUCCUUAUUAUCUUCUUCAAUAGAUUUUCUUUUUAUUUUUAGUUUCGUUAUAAUAAUGUAUAACUCAAAGGCUUCUUUUUUUUUAUGCCGUUUCAAUCUGUGACCCGACCGAAAUCGGUAGCCCCCGAAAGAAAAAAAAAAAGAGAAGUUGAUGAUGGUGGUAAUUAUCUUUUAUUUAAUACGCGUGCAUACACACUACUGGAGUUUUGGGCCGUAGGACGAGGCAACUCUCUACAGCAGCUAAUUAUAUUGGUAUCCGUCGAAUGUUUUUACCUGCGUAGCAUCCAGUAUGCGUUAGAGAGACUACAGCUCCGUUCUCUAUACGUGAACUAGACAGGUUGGAAGAAAAAGAAAAAGGAAUCUGGUCGUAACUUGUUUCUUUUUCUUGUUUAAAAAAAAAAUGAAAAAUAAAAAUAAGCCUCUGUCUUAAAUAAACUGAAACUCUAAAUUAUUCUUAUUCUCAGAACAUCUUUCUCUCUAACAGAGACAGAGAGAGAAAAACACUGGAGGCUUGUUGUUGCCAAGUCGGACACGUUCUAAGGCCCCGUAGCUCGGCCGCAUCUAUAUACAGGAAUAUAUAUACUAUGUGCCUGUGUAUGUCUAAACCGGUUUGAACUCGAAUGCCCACAUACAUUUUAUAAAAUGAUACUCGUAUUUCUUCAAAAGGCAGAAACGAAAUAAGAAAAAAACCAAACAUCCAACUCUUUUAAUUCAAUAAAUUUACAACAGAGACGCCAGCACAAACUGACCGUCGCGCAAUCGAAAAAUGGACUUGUUCCUCAUUCGAUCCUUUCUUUUUCCACCAUUGAAUGAAAAGUUAUUAUAAAAUAUAUUAUUAUCAAAAGUAAUUAUUAUUACGUGAUUCGUGGACGUUGGUUGAAACUUUAAUUCAUUUACUAAAACAAAAUCUGAAUAUAGAUUGCAUCGUUGCCGUUUGGAAUUUUUGAUCAUGUGUUUUUUUCUUUUUCUUUUCUGUUUUAUUUUUGUGAUGUGGUUGUGAAUCGAUUUGCCGAUAGCCCCGUGGGGCCUUUUAUGAGAGAGAGAGAGAGAGAGAAGGGCCGGUCGGCGC